AUACGGAGGAUACAAGCGUUAUCCGGAUUUAUUGGGUUUAAAGGGUGCGCUAGGCGGACCGGUAAGUCAGGGGUGAAACUUUACAGCUUAACUGUAAACGUGCCUUUGAUACUGUCGGACUAGAGUUUAAGAGACGUAAUUGGAAUGUGAUGUGUAGCGGUGAAAUGCUUAGAUAUAUCACAGAACGCCAAUCGUGAAGACAGAUUACGAACUUAAUACUGACGCUCAUGCACGAAAGCGUGGGGAUC
rnacentral:rRNA from 1 species